ensembl:snRNA U6 U6 spliceosomal RNA
UUAUUCUAAAAACUACUUGAAGACUGGAAUUAUACAGAGAAGAUUAACGUGGCCCUUGCACAAGAGUGACACACAAAUCUGUGAAGUGUCAUGUAUGUUA